rnacentral:lncRNA from 1 species
ACCAUUUGCUAUUAUUUUAUGUGUUACAAUAUUAAUUCAUAUACAAUCAAAUAAACUAAAUAAAUUUAGACUUAUUGAGUUUAUUUUGUCAAUCUCCUUCUCGUGAAUUUACUGCAAAGAGAUUCCCACCCUAUAAAGCUGCAUUAUACCCGUGAAUUGUCCAAUCACCCUUUAAGUUUAUAAUAAUAAUAAAAAUUAGGUCUGUUUAAAAAUUUAAAAUCAAGAGUAUUAUGAAACUAGAAUUUUUUUUAAAG